UUUCUUGCAAGCCCCACAACGCACUCACUCAAGAAAAAAAAAAAAAACAGAAAGGGGUUGGUUUUGUGGGUAAAAUGAACCCUACUUGGUGUCUUCUUCCUUCUUCCACUCUAUAAAGCUGGUUUUCUCUUGCAGAUUUAUGCUGGAGUGGUCCAUGAAAAGCCCUUUUGUAUGGGCCUCUCUCUCUCUCUCCCUGUCCCUCUCUCUCUGGGCUAUAUGAAGAGAGAGAGAGAGAGAGUGGACCUUUGUGGACAGAAGAUAGAAGAUUGGUGAGAUCUGAGGAGGUGAAAGUGAGUGCAGCUUGGAAAUUUCAAGUCCUGUCAUGCUUUUCCACAGCUUUCUUGAACUUCUUAUCUUCCAGUCUUUUGAUCUCUCUCUCUCUCUCUCUCUCUCCUCUCUCUCUAAAAAGAUUGAACAAACCAUCCUUAGAAGCUCAAGAAAGCUGUGGGAAAACAUGGCAAAUUCAGGAUUUUUUUUUUCAAGCCAUUGUGUUGCAGACAAGGGAAAACUAUCUCAGUAUUCCUCACCACAUGUUGUGAAACUCAGCGGCUUCAGAUCUCUUUUCAUCUUUAUGGUAACACCACUGGUUCUUAUCCUCCUUUUUUGGUUGUUCUCUCUUUUUGGGGAAAUGGCAUUGUGAAUUGUCAGAUCUAGUGCACACAAACACACAUCUCUCAGCAUACAAUUUAGCAAAUCAAACCCUCCAGAAUUUCGUGCGAUAAUUGGGUAAUUCAACUGGGAUUAUGCAUUCUUCUUCCUAAUGAUGUGACCAUGGUCGUGACUUGUGGCACAAAUUUAACUAAAUUAUGCAUUUUUUGUUCCCCGUACAAUGUGGGUUCAUCAGUGUUUCUGAGAAAAAGAAGAUGAUGACUUCUGCAACUGGUUUGCUUCUCUCUCUACUGCAACACGUUUGAGGCCAUGCAUGGCAAAAGGGCUGUAUUUUCCCUAAAACAAAAGAAAAUGCUAUAAUCUCCCUUGUUGUCAGUGAAAUUCAUGAAAAACAUUUCCAUUGAACUCUAAAAAAAACCAAACAAAUUCUGAUCACUCGAUCAAAAUGGUGAAAAGGGAGUGAUGUUGCAGGGGAAGAUUCCUUCACUCCUGCUCUUUUUAUCUCCAACACCAGUACGUGUUAAUUAAUGAUAAAUGGCUCUUCCUGUUGCCAUCCCUAGUUCUUUUACUACAUCAUCUCCUAUAUUUCUGUGAAAUAAAAGGUUGAAACUUUGUCACCAUGUGACAUCAAGAUUUUACCCACAUAAAAAUUUCUCUCUCUCUCUCUCUCUCUCUCUCUCUCUCUCUCUCAUAUUGUCUAUGCUACAAUCACCUUAAAUACCAGUUCAAUUACAUUCUAAAAAACCAUAAAACUUGUGGAACAAUUUCGUAUUGUGAUUGGCUUAUGCCCACCGCCUUCUCUCUAGAAUCCGUCCGUAGGUGUAUAGUUUUUUUACCCUACCUAGUCUGACUCUUUCAAACCUUCUCUUUUGCACAGUGCUUUUGAAGGCACACAGAAUUCUUAGCAAAAAAAAAAGAAUAGCCAAGUACCAAUUAACUCUUCCAUUUUCCCACCUGCUAAAUUAAAUUGAGGAUCUUUUAACUGCCAAUUCCAGGUUGCAACCUCACUUCAUUGGAUCUGAAAUUCAUGAACCCAUCAAGGGAAAAGUUGAAGAACUCAGAAGAAAUGUUAGGCCAAAGCACGUUUUCCUCCCUCUCAUUCACCAUACGUGUUUUUAGCUGGAGAGAGAGAGAGAGAGAGAGAGAGCAGGUAAGGAUCUGUUGCAAUUCUGACAUGUUUCGCUUUUCAUUUUAGUUGUUUAUAGCUUCUGUGAGUUUCACAGACAUGUCAAGUUGGAAUGGUUGUUGGGUGUUGAAUCGCGCCUGAAGCUCUCAGCAGGUAUAUAUUCGCAAUCCAGAUUCAGUGCAUCUCUGCAGAGCUUUUUAGUAGAAGUGGGUGGAUGGGCUCUUUGAUUAAGCUCAGUUACAUUGUACUUGUAAUUUUAUGUGGGAGGAAAAAGGGAUCAACUCACCGGGUCAAGGCCAUCCUUCUCCGGUCGCAAAGUUUGAAAUCGAGUCCAGAGGAAAACAAAGUUUUCGAUACGCAAUGUAGUAACUCUGCCAAUAUCAUACCCUAAACAGAGUCCUAUGAACAAGUAUUUCAUUGUG